rnacentral:lncRNA from 1 species
GCAUCAAGCAAGGAAAGCUUUGUGAAGGCCCAGAUCUUGAUGGAUUUUGUUCACUGCCGGAUUCCCACUGUCCCACACCGUAUGUGGCACAGAGUAUAUAAUCAAAAAUUAUUUGUUGAAUGAUUGCAUGGAUACGUUCUCAGGGGUGGAACAGAGAAAGACUUCAUCUCACCCCAACUCUCACCUCCAGCUAGAUACGUGCAUUCUUACAAUAAAGCCAUCAGCUACCUCAGGAAGGAAAGUAUUUUUCUUGAAAUACGGUAAAGGCUUCUCAACAACUAGCCCCACUACGUUGAAAACUUUCACACUGUCAGUAUGUGCACUAUGGAGUUUGCUCUUAAUUGAGAGUUUGAUUGUUAACUGGUGCAGUUUACAAGCUCAAUUUCUUUCUACAUAUUCUGGAUCACCAUGUUUCUAAAAUUUAAAGAAAUAUUUUUUCCUUCUUACGACUGCACCAUAUGGAAUUUUCCAGGCCAGGGGUCAAAUCAGAGCUGCAGCUGAGGCCUACGCCAGAGCGGUGCUGCCUCUGCAACCUACACAGCAGCCUCAGCAAUGCCAGAUCUUUAACCCCCUGAGAGAGGCCAGGGAUUGAACCUGAAUCCUCAUGGAGACUACAUGGAGUCCUGUACUCAUUGAACCACAAUGAGAACUCCAAAAAAAUUUUUUUAAGUUUUUUUGGUUUGUUUGUUUUGUCUUUAAUCCAUUUUGAGUUUAUUUUUGUGUUAGAUAAUGUUUGAAUUUCAUUCUUUUACAUGUAGCUGUCCAGUUUCCCCAGCACCACACACUGAAAAGACUAUCUUUCCUCCACUGUAUGUGCCUGCCUCCUUUGUCAUAGAUUAGUACUUGGGUUUAUGUCUGGGCUUUCUAUCCUGUUCCAUUGAUCUAGAUUUCUGUUUCUGUGCCAGUACUGUUUUGAUAACUGCAGGUUUGUAGUAUAGUCUGAAGUCAGGAAGCCAGAUUCCUCCAGUUCCAUUUUUCUUUUUCAAUAUUGCUUUGGCUAUUCAGGAUCAAACCCACGUCAUCAAGGAUACUAUGUCAGGUUCUUAACCCACUGAGCCACAGAUUAUUUUCCAUUAUAGGCUAUUAGAAGAAUUGGGUAUAGUUUCCCCUGCUAUACCAUAGAAUCUUGUUGUUUACCUAUUUUAUAUAUAGUAGUGUGUAUAUUUUAAUCCUAAAGUUUCUAAUUUAUACUCCCCCACCAGUAUAAAUUGGUAGCCAUAAAUUUGUUUCCUGUGUCUCAUAGGAUUUUUAUGAAGAAUAAAUUAAUACAUGUAUUUCUUUUUGCAUACUACUUCGAAUGUAGUUAGAACUCCAUGAUUCUGGCUAUCAUGAAGGUACUAAGUCAUAAAUAAAUAGUAAAAUUCACCAUGGUUUGGAAAGAUACAACUACGGAAAUUAACGGCCAUGUAUCUAAGACAAAAAAAAAAAAAAAAAAAAAAAAGCCAAACUCAUAUUAACAGAGAGUAGAACGGUGUUUUCCAGAGGCUGGGUUUAUAUUCCACAUUUUACACAUAAGGUAACAGAGAAGUGAUUUGCCUAAGGUCACAGACCUGGUUGGGUUGGAGCCAAUAUUUAUGGGCUGUGAAGGGAAAAAGAGAGAUUUGAUUUCUUUUUAAAGUUACUAUGGUGGUUUCCACCGGGAAGAGGAGGUCUUGGGGAGUUGCUUCAUGGAUGUAGAAUUUCAGUUUUGCAGGAUGAAAAGAGUUCUGGGGAUGGAUGGUGCUGACGGUGGCACAAUAUGAAUGUACU